GUUUAGACACUCCAAAUCUGAGACAUCUUUUACAGCCCUUCAUGUCUGGAUUAUAAGCUCGUAUCACGGAUAAACAUAUGCAUCCUACACUUCCUGAUUUUUUGCCACCCCACCACCAUCCCCAACUAGAUUGCAGAAGGAUGCCAAACAAUCUUUGUCUCAGGUACAACAGACAGGAUUUGCCGAUGGAGUAAAGAGACAAUGAGAGUGGUCAAACGCAACUCCAAGAUUUUUGGCUUGAGCAACUGAAAGGAUGGAGUUGUCAUUUACUGACUGGAGAAAGACCAUGAAAGGCGAAUUCAUUUGAGGAAGAGAAAGAAGGAAUGAGGAAGAAGAAAGGGCAUGGAAGAGAAGUGAAGAAAUGAGAAAAACAGGAGGAGGAGGAAGAAGGUAGAGAAAGAAAAAGAAAAGAAGAAAAAAGAAAAUGGAGGAGAAGUUUAGGUAGAAGAAAAUGAAGGAGGAAAUGAAGAGGAAACAUUAACUGAGCAUUGACUAAGUGCCAAACACCAUACUGGGGUCUCUCUGUACACAGUGUUAUUCAAUCUUCAAAAUAACCCCAUGAGGUAAAUAUUACUAUACCUGUUUUACAGAUUUGAAAACUUGAGUGUGGUGCACAUAGCAUUUUCAGAGGUACCGCUGCUGGGAGUUCUACCAGUCAGACCUUGAGCGGCACAUCAUGUUCUUUCACCCAGAAAUCUGGGUAGUGGGCUCCAUAGCGGACCAGUAGUGU